rnacentral:rRNA from 2 species
CGAAGGUGGGACUGGCGAUUGGGACGAAGUCGUAACAAGGUAGCCGUACCGGAAGGUGCGGCUGGAUCACCUCCUUUCUAAGGAG